GCUUUACCAUUCUCCCCAAAUGCCGUGGAGUCUUCCUUAAAACAGCAGAACCCUGAAGUUGCUCUUUUCAGGAAAGAGAAGAAAUGUGGGAAAUGUGAAAUGUCCACCACGUGGCUGGAUGAAAGAAUGAAGCAAGUGGCAGCAAAAUUUAAAU